rnacentral:rRNA from 1 species
GACGAACGCUGGCGGCGUGCUUAACACAUGCAAGUCGAACGGAAAGGCCUGCUUUCCCUUGUGGAUUGCGGGUACUCGCGUGGCGAACGGGUGAGUAACACGUGAGUGAUCUGCCCCCAACUUGGGUAUAAGCCUGGGAAACUGGGUCUAAUUCCCGAUAGGACUGCAGGGUGGUGCCUGUGGUGGAAAACGAUUUUCUAGUGGUUGGGGAUGAGCUCGCGGCCUAUCAGCUUGUUGGUGGGGUAAUGGCCUACCAAGGCGGCGACGGGUAGCCGGCCUGAGAGGGUGGACGGCCACAUUGGGACUGAGAUACGGCCCAGACUCCGACGGGAGGCAGCAGUGGGGAAUAGUGCACAAUGGGCGGAAGCCUGAUGCAGCGACGCCGCGUGGGGGAUGACGGCCUUCGGGUUGUAAACUCCUUUCGACCGCGAGGAAGCCACCUGGUUGGAAGGGUGGUGACGGUAGUGGGAGAAGAAGCACCGGCUAACUACGUG